rnacentral:lncRNA from 1 species
GAGUUUAGCAGGAGAAGAAAGUUCAGGGAAGAAAAGGAUAUCGAUUCAAUCAACGACAGAAACGAACAUUUCAACAAGAAGAUCGAGCGUGCGUUUGGGAAGUACACGCUGGAGAUCAAAAACAACUUGGAACGAGGAACUGCUUUACCUGACUAAGUUACUUGAGAUCACAUGUGUGAAACAAGGGAAUGUAUUAUCUGGUCGAAUUAUAUGCUUUUGUCUGCUUAUUGUCUUUAAUAACUUGUAGAAUGCGCCAUCAAAUUCUCUCGUUAGAGGGAAAAACGGUAAGACGGAUUUUGUUUUACUCUUUGCCAGUUCUCUUUUAUACCUUCUCGAAAAUUGAAUGCUAACAACUGGCAAAAAUCUUGCGUGUUUUUUUUUUUUCAGGCUAAGCUUUGUGAAACUGAUUGAUCGGUUCGAUGCGGGGCUCAUGUCUUGGGAAGAUUUCUCGUCGGAGGUUAAGAGAAUACAUGGUAAAAGAUUAGGAGCUCCGUAUCUUAGACGGCCAGGAAAGGCAGGCUUGAGUCCCAAGUUGGAGGAGAAUUUUUAUGCAAACCCUCUUCCGGGUUGCUUGUGUGACACUUCUGAUAAACAAACCGGCCUGAACCGGUUUGAAAGACCAAGUUUACGAGCACAAUCUCUGAGAUAACCGGAGGUGUUUAGGUGUUCAAAUUGGUACUACUUAAAUUACACGAGGAAAUCACAUGUUUUGGCCUUUUUUUGGUUUUUAUGUAAUUAGGUUUAUUAAAACGUUAAUUCUAAUUGUAUUAGGAACUUGGAGAAAUAUAUAUAAAAUAUGAAUCAUAGCUCAAAACAUCUUCAAGGCCAGCAAUAUGUAAGGUUUGCUGGAAAUUCAAAUUUGAGGUUUGAAGGUGUUCAUUUCCUAUGAUAUAAUCUUAAAUCUUAUUUUAUAAAGAUUUAUAUUUACAUUAUAAUUUUUAAUAUUGAUCAAAAUUGAUUAAAAUUAUUAUUAUUUAUUUGAUUAAGCAUACAUUAAAAAUGUAUUUAAGCUAUCAUUAACCGGAUUAGGUUCUCAUUAACUGGAUUAACUGGAGUAUUGAAGUUCUAGUCUUCAGAAGAUCUUUCCCAAGUCCUUGUUUCUUUUAAGCAGACCCUCUUUUCACUGGAAUGUACAUUCAGCACCUAAAGUCUCAAAUUGAGUAUUAUUUUUUUAAACACAGUGAUUUUGAAGCAAUGGAACUCUGCUGAAAUCAUUAAAUCCCUAAAUAGAGGAAUGGGACCACUGGAGACAAUGCACAUUUCAUUGUUACUCUCCUCUCACUUUCUUCUCAGUCAAGACACAGAAACAACACAGAGUAGUAACUAGUAAGGUGUCUGAAAGGGGCAACUGAUUAUAAAUGCAUUUUGUUGAACUCACGAGAAACCCAAUGGCUUUCUUUUUUUGGACAAACCCUUCCUUCAAUACACUCACACGUCUCCUCUUGUCUUCUUCACUUGAAAAAAAAAGAAAAAAAGAUGACAACUGUAUUAAAUUGAUCAAGAUUUUCAAGAUCUUAACUAAUACAUAUUGUAAUAUUCUUCUACAUGUGAAAACUCAUCUCACCAAACCUGCAACUAACAAAAAAAACAAAACAAAACAGCAGAAGAAGAGGAAGGAGGACACCAGAAUGUACAUUACAAACAAACACAAAAGACAAACACAACAAUCUAAGAAAAUACCAAACUAAUUCUUGGCUUCUUCAUCAACAACAGAUUUUUCAGUAGCACAUUCCUCAGGAACCACUGCCAUUGACCGUCUAUUACCGCACAUUGUCCAAAGAUAUAACGCUAACAUGGCACCUAAAGUUCCACAAACCGCACCUAGAACCAAUGCACUAAGCAUUCUCCAAACACACUUUCUCUUCUUCCCCUUUACUUCCACCGUCUUCUUCUUCUUCUUCACCUCCACCUCCUUAACAGUCUUGGAAACUGCGUUUGGAUCAAGCGGCUGCGAGUGAAUCCUCAUUGAAGGAUGUCUCAGCUUAAAGCUCCAUGAGUGUAGAUAAUGCGGCUUGGAAGAGUUUCCAUUUGCAGAUGUCAAACCCACCAUAAACUUCUUUCCUUUCCAUAUCUUAGCCAAGUCUACCGAGUAAGACACCAACGGAUCCACAGGCUUCAAGGCAUUAGAAACACUCAAACGAACCUCUAUUCUCUUAGAACUUGCCUCGUAAUCAAUCCAGCAACUCAACUUCUUCCCUCCAUCGAAAUGUCCACCAAAAGAUGAUAAAUUUCUAAUUCUCGCGGAUCCAGGUCUACCAACUAAGACCCCCACACGGUUCCCUCUCUUGGAGACACCAAACUCAACAGCAACAACCUCGUUUCGCAAUAAAAAGCCUAGACCAGAGGAAGUGUUGUCCUUUCUACCAAACAACCUAAGAUCCAAACCACUUGGAACCAUUACAAAAGCCAGGACGCUACCGAUCUCUUUGGAGGAGGACGACAUUGAGAAGGAGAAGCUAGUGGAGAACGAUCCUGAAAAGUUUCUACCUUUAGUAGUAGUACCUUGGAGUAGUGUGAUGGGUUUCUUGUAAAGGACUCGCCCUUCGCUCCGACUCACCGAGCCGGUCAGCUGAAUCGAUGAACCGCCGCCGUUGACGAGCUUCGAAUCUCGAAACUUCUAAAGAUUUAUUGAAUCUCUAGACUUGUAUAUAUCCUAAGUUUUAAAUAAAAUUUUAAAUAUAUGAUCAGGAAAAAUAUUCUGAUAUAAGAUUAUGACUAUUGAAAAUUAUAUAUAUUCCGUUGUACACCAAUGAUUAAUAACCGAACAGUUUAAAUGUGGAAUAAAGAAAUUUGUAAAAAAAAAAGUAGAACAAAACCAACUUAUAAUUUGGACAAAUAAAACGACUUUUAAACUUAUUUUUCCUAUACAAAGCACAUAUAUAUAGCUGCACCCGUGUUAUACAUAAUCGGAAAGAAAGAAAGAGAGAGGAAACAGAAGAAUUAGAGAGAGAUUGUUUGUCUGCUCCUCCUGAGAUCGCGCGUAGAAUUAGAUUUUGAUGGAGAUUCAUUGAGACCCCAAAGCCUUUCUCCUCUGAUCAAUUAUUCUAAAAAAGUAAUUUAUUUAAAAUUAUUUUCUCCGGGAAGGUUUAAAAAAAGUCGUCUGUUUUUCACCGGUUACAUGUCAGUCCGCGUUCCGGUCCCGUCGAGCAGCAGCCAGUUACCGGCGGCGCCAACAGCAACAACGACAAGACGUCGCGUGACAGAUUCUCAAGAAGAUCAUUGCCACGUCAGCACCGGAGGAGGAGGAGCAGUCGUUUACCUCCCCGGCGACGAGGAAGAAGCCACGAGCAGCAGCGGCGACGAAGGAGGAGGAGGAGGAUCAUCUUCGUGUUGUCAGAGUGAUUCGCACCACAACUACCUCGUCCGGUUUCUGUCUCUCCGCAAAAUCAGGCUCGUGUGGAUGCUCAUGGCCGACAACAAAUCCCAAUGGACGGCUGCUAUGUCUCGGAACGUGAGAUCCGCCACCAAUCUCGGCCGUAUGAUUCUGUCUAUAUUAGGAAUCCUCGUCGUCACUUUCUUCCUCGUCGUUGCUCUCUCCGGUGGCGGUGGCGGACGACGGAGACACGUGGAGAAACACGAGUUCGUCGUUUCGAUCCAUCCCAGAAGUAACAUGGAGAAGAUCAUCAAAGAAGAAGAAUCUUCUUCCAGUUCCGCUCGAGUUCUCCUUCCUGAGAGAAACCCUGUAAGCUCACACAUGUUCUGUUCUGUUCUGUUCAUUCUUACAUUCUGUGUACUAAUAUUGGCUUUGGUACUUUUUUUUUUUUUUUUUUUUUUUUUUUCUUAUAGUCAUUAGCUUUAACUCUUUAACUUGUCUGUAAGAUCAUUUUAUAUAUGUCUCCGCUUUUGGUUUUCAGAAUGAAGCAAGAAAGUUCAAUCAAACAGAUGUCGGGUCUGAAAAGAAGAAGAUGGAAGCACCAACUGAGCCAAAAGGAAUCUCGAAACAGAAAUGGGUGGAGGCGAGGCAGAAAAAGAUUGGGAAGAUUCUCGAUGCUAAUGGUUUAGAUAUGUCAAAGGCUUACAUGCUCGAUACUCAAGAAGCUGCGGAAACAAAAUACAAAAAAUGGGAGAAGGAACCCACACCUUCUGGUUGGGAUGGUACAUGCAGUUCUCACCUGACUUUUGAUUUUGUUUUGUUUUGUUCCAUUGAUUGAUGCUAGUGUUCUAACUGGUGUAUCUUCCUUGCAGUCUUUAACCAGAAGACGUUAUACAACGCAUACAAGAAACGGACAAAGAACAUUCAGGUUGACAUAGAGGAGUACAACAGAAUGAGAGCAGCUGAUCCAGAGUUUUACCGCGAGGCCUCUAGCUUGCAAUACGGCAAGGUUAGUUGAUAUAAAUCGUUUUGGUCAUUUUAGAGAUUCAAGUCUUGAGCAAAGAAUCAUUAGCUCAAUCCUUUGCUUAUCUUUUGCAGGCACCAAAAAUUUCAAAAGAUAAGAUAGAUAAGAUGGCGAAGGAGCUCCAUGACAGAGAGGAGAAACGACAGGAGUUUAGCAGGAGAAGAAAGUUCAGGGAAGAAAAGGAUAUCGAUUCAAUCAACGACAGAAACGAACAUUUCAACAAGAAGAUCGAGCGUGCGUUUGGGAAGUACACGCUGGAGAUCAAAAACAACUUGGAACGAGGAACUGCUUUACCUGACUAAGUUACUUGAGAUCACAUGUGUGAAACAAGGGAAUGUAUUAUCUGGUCGAAUUAUAUGCUUUUGUCUGCUUAUUGUCUUUAAUAACUUGUAGAAUGCGCCAUCAAAUUCUCUCGUUAGAGGGAAAAACGGUAAGACGGA